GUUUUAAGGGGAGCAGCUCAAAGCUUGUUGUUGUGGCAUCUUCAGGAGGCUGAAUUUCCAGGUUUUUCUUCUCUUGAAGCUUGGAGUUGGAGGGAGAUUCUCUUCACCGGCGGAUCCUCGGAGAGAUUAGAGAUCCAUACCGGGCUGUAGUUCGCGGGACUUGGUGAACCCAACUCUGUAGCUCGGAGCCAGGAGAAGAUCAAGUUUAGGUCUGGGGGGUGUCAGAGAGUCGUAUUGUCUGCGUUAUCAGUAUCUUGUUAUUACCUGCUUGUGAGUGUAAGACUUGUAUUCUGAUUGUAUUUGUAAUUUGC